rnacentral:pre_miRNA from 1 species
UAUAAGGGAUUUUGAGUUUUUGCUUGUAAUGUUUGACCACUCGUCUUAUUUAAAAAUUUUUGAAAUUAUUAAUUAUUUUAUUUGUGACUUACUUUAUUAUCUACAUUACUUUAAGCACAACUUUUCGUUUUUUAUAUUUGCAAAAAAAAAUUUGAAUAAGACGAGUGGUCAAACGUUACAAGCAAAAACUGAAAAUCCCUUAUA